rnacentral:tRNA from 1 species
GGGGAUUUAGCUCAGUGGUAGAGCGCUUGCUUGCCUAAGAAGCGCAAGACCCUGGGUUCGGUCCCCAGCUCCG